rnacentral:rRNA from 1 species
CCUACGGGUGGCAGCAGUGAGGAAUAUUGGUCAAUGGACGCAAGUCUGAACCAGCCAUGCCGCGUGCAGGAAGACGGCCCUAUGAGUUGUAAACUGCUUUUGUACGAGGGUAAACGCAGAUACGAGUAUCUGUCUGACAGUAUCGUACGAAUAAGGAUCGGCUAACUCCGUGCCAGCAGCCGCGGUAAUACGGAGGAUUCAAGCGUUAUCCGGAUUUAUUGGGUUUAAAGGGUGCGUAGGCGGUCGGAUAAGUUAGAGGUGAAAUCCAGAGGGUCACCUUCGGAAUUGCCACUGAUACGGUUCGGCUAGAGAGUAGAUGCGGUAGGCGGAAUGUGUGGAGUAGCGGUGAAAUGCAUAGAGAUCAUACAGAACACCGAUAGCGAAGGCAGCUUACCAAGCUGCUUCUGACGUUGAGGCACGAGAGCGUGGGGAGCGAACAGGAUUAGAUACCCGUGUAGUC